AUUGAACGCUGGCGGCAGGCCUAACACAUGCAAGUCGAGCGGAUGAAGGGAGCUUGCUCCUGGAUUCAGCGGCGGACGGGUGAGUAAUGCCUAGGAAUCUGCCUGGUAGUGGGGGAUAACGUCCGGAAACGGGCGCUAAUACCGCAUACGACCUGAGGGAGAAAGUGGGGGAUCUUCGGACCUCACGCUAUCAGAUGAGCCUAGGUCGGAUUAGCUAGUUGGUGGGGUAAAGGCCUACCAAGGCGACGAUCCGUAACUGGUCUGAGAGGAUGAUCAGUCACACUGGAACUGAGACACGGUCCAGACUCCUACGGGAGGCAGCAGUGGGGAAUAUUGGACAAUGGGCGAAAGCCUGAUCCAGCCAUGCCGCGUGUGUGAAGAAGGUCUUCGGAUUGUAAAGCACUUUAAGUUGGGAGGAAGGGCAGUAAGUUAAUACCUUGCUGUUUUGACGUUACCAACAGAAGAAGCACCGGCUAACUUCGUG
rnacentral:rRNA from 1 species